CGGGAUGUGGCGCAGCUUGGUAGCGCACCUGCUUUGGGAGCAGGGGGUCGCAGGUUCGAAUCCUGUCAUCCCGA
rnacentral:tRNA from 2 species